AUUGAACGCUGGCGGCAGGCCUAACACAUGCAAGUCGAGCGGAUGAAGGGAGCUUGCUCCUGGAUUCAGCGGCGGACGGGUGAGUAAUGCCUAGGAAUCUGCCUGGCAGUGGGGGAUAACGUCCGGAAACGGGCGCUAAUACCGCAUACGUCCUGAGGGAGAAAGGGGGGGAUCUUCGGACCUCACGCUCUCAGAUGAGCCUAGGUCGGAUUAGCUAGUUGGUGGGGUAAAGGCCUACCAAGGCGACGAUCCGUAACUGGUCUGAGAGGAUGAUCAGUCACACUGGAACUGAGACACGGUCCAGACUCCUACGGGAGGCAGCAGUGGGGAAUAUUGGACAAUGGGCGCAAGCCUGAUCCAGCCAUGCCGCGUGUGUGAAGAAGGUCUUCGGGUUGUAAAGCACUUUUAUUUGGGAGGAAGGGCAGUAAGUUAAUACCUUGCUGUUUUGACGGUACCAACAGAAUAAGCACCGGCUAACUUCGUG
rnacentral:rRNA from 1 species